UACGUAGGGACCAAGCGUUGUUCGGAUUUACUGGGCGUAAAGCGCACGUAGGCGGCUUUGUAAGUUAGAGGUGAAAGCCCGGAGCUCAACUCCGGAAUUGCCUUUAAGACCGCAUCGCUUGAAUCCGGGAGAGGUGAGUGGAAUUCCGAGUGUAGAGGUGAAAUUCGUAGAUAUUCGGAAGAACACCAGUGGCGAAGGCGGCUCACUGGACCGGUAUUGACGCUGAGGUGCGAAAGCGUGGGGAGCAAACAGG
rnacentral:rRNA from 1 species